rnacentral:rRNA from 1 species
GAUGAACGCUGGCGGCGUGCCUAAUACAUGCAAGUCGAGCGAACGGACGAGAAGCUUGCUUCUCUGAUGUUAGCGGCGGACGGGUGAGUAACACGUGGAUAACCUACCUAUAAGACUGGGAUAACUUCGGGAAACCGGAGCUAAUACCAGAUAAUAUUUUGCACCGCAUGGUUCAAAAGUGAAAGACGGUCUUGCUGUCACGUAUAGAUGGAUCCGCGCUGCAUUAGCUAGUUGGUAAGGUAACGGCUUACCAAGGCAACGAUGCAUAGCCGACCUGAGAGGGUGAUCGGCCACACUGGAACUGAGACACGGUCCAGACUCCUACGGGAGGCAGCAGUAGGGAAUCUUCCGCAAUGGGCGAAAGCCUGACGGAGCAACGCCGCGUGAGUGAUGAAGGUCUUCGGAUCGUAAAACUCUGUUAUUAGGGAAGAACAUAUGUGUAAGUAACUGUGCACAUCUUGACGGUACCUAAUCAGAAAGCCACGGCUAACUACGUG